GAGGAGGUUGCACACGUGUGUGUGUGUGUGUGUGUGUGUGUGUGUGUGUGUGACAGGGCAGUUUUCCUAUAAACACAUGGAGAUCCUCCUGCCUCUUCCUCCUAUGUGUUGGGAUUAAAGACAUACACCACCAUGUGUAGCUCACACUUAGUUUUAUAAGGCAAAUAUUUUAAAAUGCUUUAGGAAAGGAAUAAUUUUUUAAAUAAGUAAUUGAAUGCAAAUUAAUAAAACCAAGCUUUUUACAUUUUGUCUUCGUCGAUAGGCUCCUAACAUGGACUUAAGAGUGCAUCUGCUGUAUGCUAGGCUGUUGUAAGGAGCUGGGGGGUUCGAUCGCAGAGAGGUAGGCCAGUUCCCUGUUUUUGUGGUCUUUCUAAUCCAGAGAGACAGAGAAGCAAAUGAUAACCAAAGUAGUUUUAGUUGGUGGUCAGUGCUAGGAAGAGAAGUAGAGAAAGAAAUUUGAGGACUGGGUGGGGUGGGGCCCAGCAGCAGGGAGCUGGUGCAGAGAGGUCACUCCAGGCCAGGUGGGUGAAUGAGCGGUCUAAAGACUAGGCUGGGUGUGGACUUGCUGUUAAUUACAGUAAGGAGCCAUAGAUGGUGGAAAGCAGCGGUGCUGUCCACUGCUGCUUGCUGUGGAUGGGGUUUCUUAGGCUGUGCUCCAGGCUGCAGUGUCUCUGUUAGGAGGUGAUGGUGUUAGCCUAGACUUGGGUAGUGAGGAAGGAAGGUCACAUCGCUGUUUUUCAGCGUUUGAAAUGAUCUGUCUUGCCGGCUGUGCUCAGUCUGCUUUCCUGGAGCGAUUUGUUGUUCAAGAGUACAAGUGUGUCUUGUUCUUUGAUCAGCUGCUCCUAACCACAGCCUUCAGGCAAGUCCUGUCCUGGCUCCCAGCUUGUAUUUAUUCACUGCGGAGGUGCUCUGUGGGCUGGAGUAGCCCAUGUUGGGUGCCAGUGGUCAACUGGACUUGCUCUUCAGGUUUCUAGAGCAUAGCACGGCCACUUUAGAGUCCCUUUCCUGGGAGGGGUCCACCUGCCUGCUGCCAGUGUUUAUAUAGGCAACCUUGCAGUCUUGCUUGAAGUCAGUCCUGUGUUGGUUUGUCCAUGAGAUGUAGCCUUAAAGCACAGGCGCUUUCUUUAUAUUUAUUAAUGCUAUAUUUAAUUAGUGGCUGCUUAAGUUUAAUAAAGAGCGAAGAACUCCUUAAUAAUAGUCAAGCCAUCCCUUGAACUUGGGAAAUGUGCUGCCUCUGCUAAGCACAGCUAGAGUAAGCCACACUUCAGUACAGCUGUGGGGGAGACUGUCUCUGCCUGUAGUGAUGCAGAUUGUCUUGGGCUAAUAACUCAAGCAUAGGCUGUUCUUAUGAAGACAGAAUGAAGGAAUGCCGGAGUGGAAGACAGUCUCCAGGAGAACAUAGCCCAGAGCAGGCCUCAUCAUGACAACAAGGUUAAUCAUAGUCUGUUCCUUGUAGGAGUUCACUAACUCAUCUUAGACUGAAUGUCUGUACCCUAGUAGUCCCCUUCUGUCAAAACCCUUCUAUCCUCUGCCCUUUUCCCGGGGCAUCUCUGAUUAAUCAUUCAUUGGGUGAGUAGAGAAUAAUGGGAAGGGUGGGGCGGGGCUGGGUUUGUCAGACAGACUUGCCUGGGGGGAAAGCCUUGAGUAUGUAUGGUGUGGGGACUGCAGUCUCUUGUAGGUGGGGGACACUGGGCAUCAGCUCAGGUGAGGCUGGACAGGUGACAUGUGAAAUGUGGCCUCCUUCAGAAAAGCUUUUAUCCCAGGACAGUGGGGAUCCUGUAGAGACCAUAGCUUAUCUUCCCUCAGAUUGUAAGCUGUUGGUCCACUGUGUGAGGUGCCUUGUGUUGUAGAUAUUAAAGUAUUGUAGUUCUUCUACUAGUCUGAAAUCACUGUGAAAACCAGCCUGGGGGGCUUUGCCCCAGUGUGUAUGAAUCACAUGGGUAUCCCAGGUAAUGUGGCUGUAGUUUUCUUGGUCUCAAUGGGAAUACUUCUAAUGAGUGCCUGGGUGAUGUGGCUGGUCUGGGGACUGCACUGUGAGUAAGAAGGCUCUCAUAUUUUUUUUUUAAAACAUAUGCCAUACCGGGCAGUGGUGGCGCAUGCCUUUAAUCCCAGCACUUAGAAGGCAGAGGUAGGCGGAUUUUCUGGGUUCAAGGCCAGCCUAGCCUGGUCUACAAAGUGAGUUCCAGGACAGCCAGGGCUACACAGAGAAACCCUGUCUCGAAAACAAACAAACAAAAACAUAUGCCAUGGUUUCACUUGGGUUUUUUUCUUUCUAUAUUUUGUUUUUUAUUAUUUUUUGUUUGUUUCAUCUGC
rnacentral:lncRNA from 1 species